GCCGGGGUGGCGGAACUGGCAGACGCGCUAGAUUCAAAAUCUAGUGUCCGCAAGGACGUGUGGGUUCAACUCCCUCCCUCGGCA
rnacentral:tRNA from 1 species